rnacentral:rRNA from 1 species
UGAACCCGGUGAAUGGUAGAACCGGGGUAAGCGUGUAGGAGGAGGACCAGGCAAAUCCGGGCCUCAUAUACUCUGAGACGUGAUACCGAGCCGCUUCAGGCGAAGUCAUUAAUCCUAUGCUGCCUAGAAAAGCCCAGUAGCGAGUUGGCAUGGUGCCCGUACCCCAAACCAACACAGGUGGACAGGUAGAGCAUACCAAGGCGAGUGGGAUAACUAUGGUUAAGGAACUCGGCAAAUUUCCUCCGUAACUUCGGGAUAAGGAGGACCCCAGUAGCGUGACGAGACUUGCUCUCCGAGCGUGAAGGGGUGGCACAAAAUUGAGGGAAGCGACUGUUUACCAAAAACGCAGCAGCGUGCUAAGCCGUAAGGCGCUGUAUACGCUGUGACUCCUGCCCGGUGCUGGAAGGUUACGGGGAUGGGUUAGUCCUUUGGGACGAAGCUCUGAACCUAAGCCCCAGUAAACGGCGGCCGUAACUAUAACGGUCCUAAGGUAGCGAAAUUCCUUGUCGGGUAAGUUCCGACCUGCACGAAUGGAGUAACGACUUCCCUACUGUCUCAACCAUAGACCCAGCGAAAUUGAAGUACGAGUAAAGAUGCUCGUUAGCUGCAGAAGGACGGAAAGACCCCGUGGACCUUUACUAUAACUUGAUGUUGUGUUUUGUCAUAUGUUGUGUAGGAUAGGUGGGAGACAAGGAAGCAUGGACGCUAGUCUGUGUGGAGUCAUCGUUGAAAUACCACCCUGCAUAUGGCGAGGCUCUAACCUAGACCCGUUAUCCGGGUUGGGGACAGCGUCAGGCGGGUAGUUUAACUGGGGCGGUUGCCUCCUAAAGAGUAACGGAGGCGCCCAAAGGUUCCCUCAGCCUGGUUGGCAAUCAGGCGUCGAGUGCAAUGGCAAAAGGGAGCUUGACUGCGAGACCUACAAGUCGAGCAGGAGCGAAAGCUGGGCAUAGUGAUCCGGCGGUUGCGUGUGGAAGCGCCGUCGCUCAACGGAUAAAAGGUACCCCGGGGAUAACAGGCUAAUCUUGCCCAAGCGUCCAUAGCGACGGCAAGGUUUGGCACCUCGAUGUCGGCUCAUCGCAUCCUGGGGCUGAAGCAGGUCCCAAGGGUUGGGCUGUUCGCCCAUUAAAGCGGUACGCGAGCUGGGUUCAGAACGUCGUGAGACAGUUCGGUCCCUAUCCUCUGUAGCCGUAGGUGAAUUGAGGAAAGCUGUCCCUAGUACGAGAGGACCGGGACGGACGCAGCUCUCGUGUGCCAGUUGUCCUGCCAAGGGCAUGGCUGGUUAGCGACCUGCGGAAAGGAUAACCGCUGAAAGCAUCUAAGCGGGAAGCCUCUUCCAAGAUGAAUUCACCCACAGGGUUAACCUGGUAAGGCCCGUGGUAGACCACCACGUUGAUAGGCCGGAAGUGUAAGCGUGGCAACACGUUCAGCUGACCGGUACUAAUCGGCCGAGGGCUUGAAUG